GGAUGUGAGGGUGAUCUGGCUGUGACAUCUGUCACCCCAUUGAUUGCCAGGGUUGAUUCGGCUUAUCUGGCUGGCUAGCCUGGUGUCCCCUUCCUCCCUCACCACUCCAUGUGUGUCCCUCCCAAAGCUGUGUGCUCGGUGGAAGAGGACGACCAUCCCAGAUAGAAGGAGUGUACCAUUCUUCGGUCAAGGGUAUACAAUAGCUGUGCUCCCCUGCUAGAACCUCCAAACUAGCCUUCCAACCUUUAAAGUUAUUUUGUAUUUACAGACAUGAAGAGAAGCUUCUGAAGCUAUGCAUAGGGAUAGGUGUGUGACUUAUUCAUACUAU